UCAUAUAAAUGUGACCGUGCAAAAUGCUCCAAAGCUCGAACAAUAAUUUCAGGUGAAUAUUUUUGCUAAAAAAUCCCGAGAAAAAAAAACCCGCUAAUACUACUAGGAAUAUGUUUAACUUCCUGCUAAUACUGUUAAGUUCCUGCUAAUCCUGUUAAGUUCCUGCUAAUCCUGGUAAGUUUUCGCUUAAUACGGCUAAACCUAUUAAGUUUCCCAUUAGUGAAAUGACGUUUAUGAAUUUCCUGCUAAUCCUACUAAGUACUUAUCAGGAUUAAACGAAUUACUUAGUAAGUUCCUAGUAAUUUUUCAAAAAUAAAACAAGUAUAAAAAAUCGUCUUUGUUAUACGCCAUCUUUUAUUUAUUCACACCGAAGACAAGUCAGCCAUAAAACAGCUUUUUUAGAUUCAAUAGAUUUACUAUUGAAUCUAAAAAAGCUGUUUAAUAUUUGUAAUUCUAUAAGGAAAAAGCUCAAGAACAUCUGGUGAUGAUUGCGUGGUUUGCAGUUUAUUUGAUGAAUAUUUGUUAAUGUGUUAUAAUAUGGUUUUAAAUGUUAAUUUUAACUCUAUAUAAAUUCGAGCAUUUUCUGUUGUAUCAAUUCGAGCAUUUUCUGAUUCAUAGUGAUAUUUCCAUCUCAAACCAUUUACAAUCAAUUAGCUUCAGGUUGGUAAUGUCAACGCAAAAGCCAACCUAUUUUUGCUUCACGCCGGCAUGCAACUGCUGACCUAAAUCUUUGUAACAAGUAGCAAAAGAUUCUGUUUGCAAUCAAUAAAUUAAUGAAACAUCAAACUUAAUUCAUAAUGGCGACAGGAGUUUGUUGUUUACAAUGAUCUAAAUCAGAUUUCUUAACAGUUUUAGAUUAUAAUAGCUUUGAAACAAUGAUAAUGAAAGUUUUUUCAUCGUUCUAAAUUUAUGCUACAGUUAUGGUCGUAAAAGAUUAAGAAAAAUCUUAUGGGUGCAAUUAUUCCACUGACCCCGCGAAAAUUACCAAAAAAACUGACCAUCGCUGUUUAUUGUAUUUUUUAAAAUGUUCUAUUUAAACAAUCUAACAC